GGCAAGAGUUUUUGUAGGUGAUACCUUUUAUUGAACCAACUGCAUGGUUGGAACAGAGUCAGACAAGCUUUGUAAUGCAGGACAUUCUUCA